rnacentral:rRNA from 1 species
CCUACGGGGUGCAGCAGUGAGGAAUAUUGGUCAAUGGACGAGAGUCUGAACCAGCCAAGUAGCGUGAAGGAUGACUGCCCUAUGGGUUGUAAACUUCUUUUAUAUGGGAAUAAACUGUUCCACGUGUGGGAUUUUGUAUGUACCAUAUGAAUAAGGAUCGGCUAACUCCGUGCCAGCAGCCGCGGUAAUACGGAGGAUCCGAGCGUUAUCCGGAUUUAUUGGGUUUAAAGGGAGCGUAGGUGGAUUGUUAAGUCAGUUGUGAAAGUUUGCGGCUCAACCGUAAAAUUGCAGUUGAAACUGGCAGUCUUGAGUACAGUAGAGGUGGGCGGAAUUCGUGGUGUAGCGGUGAAAUGCUUAGAUAUCACGAAGAACUCCGAUUGCGAAGGCAGUUCACUGGACUGCAACUGACACUGAAGCACGAAAGCGUGGGGAUCAAACAGGAUUAGAUACCCCUGUAGUC